rnacentral:rRNA from 1 species
GAUGAACGCUAGCUACAGGCUUAACACAUGCAAGUCGAGGGGAAACGACAUCGAAAGCUUGCUUUUGAUGGGCGUCGACCGGCGCACGGGUGAGUAACGCGUAUCCAACCUGCCCAUCACUUGGGAAUAACCUUGCGAAAGUAAGACUAAUACCCAAUGAUAUCCCACGAAGGCAUCGGAAUGGGAUUAAAGAUUUAUCGGUGAUGGAUGGGGAUGCGUCUGAUUAGCUUGUUGGCGGGGUAACGGCCCACCAAGGCAUCGAUCAGUAGGGGUUCUGAGAGGAACGUCCCCCACAUUGGAACUGAGACACGGUCCAAACUCCUACGGGAGGCAGCAGUGCGGAAUAUUGGUGAAUGGGCGAGAGCCUGAACCAGCCAAGUAGCGUGCAGGAAGACGGCCCUAUGGGUUGUAAACUGCUUUUAUAAGGGAAUAAAGUGGGUCACGUGUGACUUUUUGCAUGUACCUUAUGAAUAAGGACCGGCUAAUUCCGUG